GCUGGGUGUGGUGGCUCAUGCCUGUAAUCCCAGCACUUUGGGAGGCCGAGGUGGGAGAAUUGCUUGAGCUCAGGUGUUUGAGAUCAGCCUGGGCAACAUAGCAAGACCCCAUCUCUA
ensembl:misc_RNA Metazoa_SRP Metazoan signal recognition particle RNA